UACAGAGGUCUCAACCGUUGUUCGGAUUCAUUGGGCGUAAAGGGUGCGUAGGCGGUCGCGCAAGUCGGAUGUGAAAUCUUAGGGCUCAACCCUGAAACUGCAUUCGAUACUGCGUGGCUAGAGUACUGGAGAGGAGAGUGGAAUUCCUGGUGUAGCGGUGAAAUGCGCAGAUAUCAGGAAGAACACCCGUGGCGAAAGCGGCUCUCUGGAACGGUACUGACGCUGAGACGCGAAAGCGUGGGGAGCGAACAGG
rnacentral:rRNA from 1 species